rnacentral:lncRNA from 1 species
CAAGCACUUAAAUGGAUGCAAAACAACAAGAUGAUGAAGCUCGGAGGUCAUUUUUUUACUUUUGCUUUCCAGCCACUUUAACUACUGGCUGUUUUACAAAAUGAAACCUUUUCUGGUAUUAUUAUGCAGACUCAGAACUGCAAGAAAAUCCCAAGAUGAUGGUGCAAAGAAGACGCGGACAUGGGAUCGUGCAAGGGCAUUUCCU